AUCACAUACAAAAUAACAAUACAUUUUUGUUAAUAACUAUCAUUUUGACACAUAUUCCCACAUAUUUUAUGUCAUUGGAAAGCUAAGCGCCCUUUUAGACCAAGCGCCCUUUUAGAGAGAAAAACGCCCGAGUUAUACAUAAGUAAAGUUUUUACCGGGUUGCGGGCAUUCUCCAAUCCGCCUUAGAGUUCCAGGCCAUUUGUGUGUGAUUGGUAGUCUUUUGACGGAAAGCUACCCAUUUAAAGUUUGACAGGACCGGGGCUUUCCUGCGAUCUGAUCUAGAGUUCCAUGAGAUUACUAGGUGGUUCCCGGUAGGGAAC